AAAAUUAAUGAAGCUGCAUGUAUCUUAUAUAGAAUUUUAUCAAUACCUUUAAAUAUUAAUUAUAAAAACAAGCUCCAGAAGAAACAUGAAACUCAAUAGCAUUUGGUUGAACUCUAUAUAUUUUUUAACCUGAAGACCCAUAGGUUGCCUUGGAAUGUGUUUUUUAUUAGGAAUGGUAAUAAUUGCUUUAACAUUUUCCCACUGACAGAAAAUGUACCUGAUGUGACCCCCGAAUAUUUGCUACUUUGUUGGAUGAUAUAAUGUACAUGAUGUACAUGAUGUAUGUUUGUUGCACUUCACCAUAUAAGUGAAAUUAAAUUUUACAGCAAAACAACAAAAAACUAAAUGACAUUGGAUUCAGUAAGCUUGAUAUAUAUCUAAGAUAGCUGCAUAGUUUGAGUUGAAUUUAAAAAGUUAUAAAAAAAAUUAAAGUGUACUAUCUCUAUUUUGUUCGAACUGCAAAUUCUA
rnacentral:lncRNA from 1 species